UCCCAUCCUGAAGACGUUAGAGGCCACACCCCAAGUCCCUUCACUAACAUGAACUCAGGUCUGUGACACAUUGGCUCCGCAUUAAUCCUCAAUAUAAGCCACAAUAUAAAAAAAUGCAAGACAACAGAUCUCUCCAGUCUGCCCCCUGUAUUCAUUUCCUCAUUCUCACUUCAUUAAAAACUUCCUGCUUCGCUCAUCUUGCCCACCAUGGAAGGAGCAUGUGGUGAAAGAGGCCUGUUAAGUUUAUGGUAACCAGGAAUCAAAAGGAGAGAGGCUGGUGUCCCAGUGUAACCUUCAAGGACAUACUUCCGGUCACUAGAUCCCCUCUUCUAAAGGUUCCACAAUCAUCCAGUGCCACCACGAACUGAGCCCAAAACUCCAACACGUGGCCAUUUGGUGAACAUUCAAGAUCCAAACUGUAGCAAUUAUAGUCAUAAAAGUAGGCAUAGCUCAAUUUAAAUAUAAUUGGUGUCUUU
rnacentral:lncRNA from 1 species